UACGUAGGUCCCGAGCGUUGUCCGGAAUUACUGGGUGUAAAGGGAGCGUAGACGGUAAUGUAAGUCUGGAGUGAAAGGCGGGGGCCCAACCCCCGGACUGCUCUGGAAACUAUGUUACUAGAGUGCAGGAGAGGUAAGCGGAAUUCCUAGUGUAGCGGUGAAAUGCGUAGAUAUUAGGAGGAACACCAGUGGCGAAGGCGGCUUACUGGACUGUAACUGACGUUGAGGCUCGAAAGCGUGGGGAGCAAACAGG
rnacentral:rRNA from 1 species